rnacentral:rRNA from 1 species
ACGGGGGCCCGCACAAGCGGUGGAGCAUGUGGUUUAAUUCGAUGCAACGCGAAGAACCUUACCUGGUCUUGACAUCCACAGAACUUUCCAGAGAUGGAUUGGUGCCUUCGGGAACUGUGAGACAGGUGCUGCAUGGCUGUCGUCAGCUCGUGUUGUGAAAUGUUGGGUUAAGUCCCGCAACGAGCGCAACCCUUAUCCUUUGUUGCCAGCGGUCCGGCCGGGAACUCAAAGGAGACUGCCAGUGAUAAACUGGAGGAAGGUGGGGAUGACGUCAAGUCAUCAUGGCCCUUACGACCAGGGCUACACACGUGCUACAAUGGCAUAUACAAAGAGAAGCGACCUCGCGAGAGCAAGCGGACCUCAUAAAGUAUGUCGUAGUCCGGAUUGGAGUCUGCAACUCGACUCCAUGAAGUCGGAAUCGCUAGUAAUCGUAGAUCAGAA